rnacentral:lncRNA from 1 species
CCCCUGAAUCACUGACCCAAGAUAUCUGACACUGUCCCUCUUGGCGAUGACAUGAGAUCCAAGCAUCACGUCCCUGCCUACUUCGCUCGGCUCGGCGCUAAACUUGCACUCCAGGUAUUCUGUCUUAGAUCUGCUUAUUUUGAAACCCUUAGACUCGAGCAUAUGUCUCCAUACCUCUAACCUCUCAAUAACACCGACUCUCGUCUCGUCUAUCAAGACUAUGUCAUCAGCAAAUAGCAUACACCAAGGCACAUACCCUUGAAUAUGGCGGGUUAGAGCAUCCAUCACCAAGACAAACGUCAUCAGCAAAUAGCACACACCAAGGCACAUCCCCGUGAAUAUGUCAGGUUAGAGCAUCCAUCACCAAGGCAAACAAGAGAGGGCUAAGCGUCGAUCCUUGAUGGAGCCCCAUAACCACUG